rnacentral:rRNA from 1 species
AGCAGCCGCGGUAAUUCCAGCUCCAAUAGCGUAUAUUAAAGUUGUUGCAGUUAAAAAGCUCGUAGUUGAAUUUUGGAUUCUGCCUAUUGGUCCGUCUUUUAGAUGAGUACUGGUAGUGUAGGGUCUAUCUGCCUGAUGAUACGUAAUGUCCUUUAUUGAAUGUUGCGGGUAGUCAGGACCUUUACCUUGAAAAAAUUAGAGUGUUUAAAGCAGGCAAAUGCCAGAAUACAUUAGCAUGGAAUAAUAGAAUAGGACGAAGUUGUUUUAUUUUGUUGGUUUCUAGGACAACCGUAAUGAUUAAUAGGGAUAGUUGGGGGCAUUAGUAUUCAAUUGUCAGAGGUGAAAUUCUUGGAUUUAUUGAAGACUAACUACUGCGAAAGCAUUUGCCAAGGAUGUUUUCAUUAAUCAAGAACGAAAGUUAGGGGAUCGAAGACGAUCAGAUACCGUCGUAGUCUUAACCAUAAACUAUGCCGACUAGGGAUCGGGCGAUGUUGUUCCAUGACUCGCUCGGCACCUUAUA